AGCACGGUACAGCCAAAAGCCCA
rnacentral:siRNA from 1 species